AUAUAUAUAUAUAUAUAUAUAUAUAUAUAUAUAUAUAUAUAUAUAUAUAUAUCUAACUUUAUUUAUAUUUAUUUAUAUUUUCUUCCAUAUAUACAGGUUCGACCUUGAAGUACUAGAUUUUUCCAAACUCGUGAACUUAUUGUUAGAUCUGUCACUGACGUAUGACUGUAAGUGUAAAAAGAGAGGAGGCAAGUGGGAGAUGCUGUUGACAGAAGAUAGAGAGCACAGAUGAUGAUAAGAUGCUAAUUGGAAGCUUUCUGCACCUUAAUCCUUUGUGCUCUCUAGUCUUCUGUCAUCAUCCUCAGCCCUUCCCUACCUUUAAUUUGUUGUUUUAAAUGUAUUUAUAUUGUUUGCAGAUUUCCUCCUUUUUGUUCAAAAUAAUGGGACUUAUAUUAAUUGUUGUUAACUGUAAUUUAAUUGAAUAUGAAAUUAAACCUACAUAAUUCCGAGCAAGAAAGGGUUUUGAAUUGACUUGUUACUUAAUUGGGAUAUCAAAUUCCAAUCAUAGAAUACUGCUCAUCUAAACGCUGUUGAAUUUUGUUUUGAGUAACUCAAAGCUUAACUUGCCUGUUAUUUUAAAAGACAUGAGAUUUUGUGAAAAUUAUAUCAAAUGAUUGUCCAAAUUAGGUCACAUAUCUUUGAAUAGGUACUUUUAGCUAGUAGAAAUUGACAUCCUUAAUUAGGGACAUGUUUAUUGAUUAAAUGACACGUCUAAUCAUGCAAAAAUAUGUCUAUUCAUGAAAGGCAUGUUGGUGAUAGUUUACUACCUACAAAUAUACCUAUUAUUUGCUUGCAAGAAGCUUAAUUUCAUCCUUUGAUUGAUCUUAAACUCUCCUUAAUAUCAAUUAUCUUUAUUCUAAGUUUCUUUAAAAGUAGAUUAGAGAUUAAAGAGUUUCUGAAUUUCUAUUUGAGUGAAAAUUAUAAGAUCAUUAAAUGGUUCAUUCUAUCAUUGCAGUAGGACGUCACAUUAAUAUUUGCCCCUCAUGUAUUGACUAGGUAUUCUUAGUAUUUCCAACCCUAAAUUUCCAGGAAUUGUGCUGUGUUCUAAUGAUUUCUCACUUGAUUUGUUGGUCAUGACAAUUUAGCAAAUCAAAUGUUAAUUUCUUGACAUUAAUUCCUUCUUCAAAUCCAUAUCUUACUCCCGGUGUGUCAUUUUUGGGGUGAUUGACUGAUUGGUGACCUUAUCAAGCAGGAAAAAGAGCAAGACUAUUCUUGUAUUGUGUUUAUGCUUGUGCAGAUGGUAGGGUUUUACAUGAAUUCCUUUUCUUGGUUUUUCUCUUUUUCCCUAAUGAUUGAUCAGUUGUUGAGGCUUCAAUUACUAAUUAAAUAUCAGAGAAGAAAAAUUUGUGGUAUCGAGCCGUAGAAUCAUCCAUUGAUACUUGUAUUAGGGUAGACUGCCUAUAUCACACCCUUUGGGUCCGGCCCUUUCCCAGAUCCUGCGUAAACGCGAGAUACUUCGUGCACUGGACUGCCUUUUUUUUUUAGAAAUUCAUGGUAUGUGCCUGCACCCUCUUAUCGAUGAUAAAUUGUAUGGUUCAAUCAAGCCACAAGCCCAAUUACUAGUACUGUUUUUUUCUUGUGGAUGUAUAUGAGCUGUUGAUCAUUGGAAACAUCCUGUUUAUCAUAUGAAAAUAAUUAAUGGCGCAAUAGUUCCUCAAACAAUAGAAAAUUUGUACUGGUCAAGUCUUUUGCUCUCUCAAUCACUUUAUUUCUAACAAUUUGUAGCUUUAAGGUUAACUAAUUAUCUAUCCGGAAGGAGUAAAAGUUUGCAAGUAUCCUCACUUUUCUCAUGAUGUUGCAGCUGAAUAAAUUCCAAAACAGCAAUAUCAACCCUAGUUUUCACGGGACACAGAAAGAUAUUAAAGGUUUUUCCACAUCCUUUGACUUUGCUGUUGGUGAAGAUGCAUAAAAACCAAUUGCAAGUUUGGUUCUACAAUAGAUUUGUCUAACAGCAAUUUCCAGCGGACGCCAUUAUUUUUUUUCUUUCAAUGAAUAGGAAGAAGGAGAGCCGCGAGAGCAAUGGUAAAGUUGACUCCGUGUGGGUUCAAACCAUGGGAAGAUAGCUGAAUUGAAAGAGGCAGAUUCAAGAUGGACAGGACAAUUGAAGACAGCAUUCUUAUUUCAGUGUUUCACAAUUACAAACAGCUGACAUGUUUGAGUGCGUUUUUUUGGGGGGCAAUACCGAAGUUAAUUGAAGAAGAGGGAACACCGUUCGAAUUAGCAAAAUUCAAACCAAUGUGAUAUGAGUUAUGAGCCAGUGGACACUGAGCUCUUUCCAUAUAUGUCUCCAUAAUAUUCGACUUAUAUAGAUUUCAAUUAGAUAAUGUAUUUCUGCAUUUUCUACUUUUGAAUAAUAUUAUAUGAGAAUAAUAAAAGGAUAUUUAUACCAUCAGUAUUCGACUCAUGUAGAUUUCAAGUGGUCAUCAAAUUCUACUUUCUCUCUAGUAGAACAAAUGAUGAUUACAUUUUGAGUUUAAUGGAGACCCUAGAAGUUGCAAACUUUUCUUGAUAGUUUUGUAUGUUCUUGUUUUUCCAAAAAGAUUCUUAAAC
rnacentral:lncRNA from 1 species